UGGGGAAUUUUGGACAAUGGGCGAAAGCCUGAUCCAGCAAUGCCGCGUGUGUGAAGAAGGCCUUCGGGUUGUAAAGCACUUUUGUCCGGAAAGAAAUCCUUGGCUCUAAUACAGUCGGGGGAUGACGGUACCGGAAGAAUAAGCACCGGCUAACUACGUGCCAGCAGCCGCGGUAAUACGUAGGGUGCAAGCGUUAAUCGGAAUUACUGGGCGUAAAGCGUGCGCAGGCGGUUUGCUAAGACCGAUGUGAAAUCCCCGGGCUCAACCUGGGAACUGCAUUGGUGACUGGCAGGCUAGAGUAUGGCAGAGGGGGGUAGAAUUCCACGUGUAGCAGUGAAAUGCGUAGAGAUGUGGAGGAAUACCGAUGGCGAAGGCAGCCCCCUGGGCCAAUACUGACGCUCAUGCACGAAAGCGUGGGGGAGCAAACAGGAUUAGAUACCCUGGUAGUCCACGCCCUAAACGAUGUCAACUAGUUGUUGGGGAUUCAUUUCCUUAGUAACGUAGCUAACGCGUGAAGUUGACCGCCUGGGGGAGUACGGUCGCAAGAUUAAAACUCAAAGGAAUUGACGGGGUC
rnacentral:rRNA from 1 species